rnacentral:lncRNA from 1 species
UUUAUAUUACUUUCAUUGUAUCACCAAAUACAAUUUUUUGAAUUGAAAGUGCAUAUAUAAUUUCACACAUUUACCCUGUGCUGUAGGCUUAAAUGUAGUGCUACAGGAUAAAUUAUUAAUUCCAUGGGAUCAAGGAAAGACUGUAUGAAGAAGGUCAAUGUCAACCAAGGUUAUAUCGACAUUUACAUAACUAAGAAGAGACAACAAACACCAGAAACCCUCAUAAAAAAAGAAAUUAUGUAAAUAAAUAAAUAAUUGUUUGUACAUCAAUACAUACAGCCCAUGGCUAUGUGCUCUCAACUGAAGCAACUACAACACUGAACAAGCUAGUAAUCAACAACAUUUUUUCUUCACCUAUACAAGAAACAAUUGCAACAAACUCUUGCAUAUCUUCAUAAAUCCUAGCCACUAGUGUAUAUGGAUUUGUUUUAAAAAACUUAUUAUACAUACAUGAUACAUCUACAACCUUUCUUUGUGAAGGUUCGUAAGGUUAAAUAACGACUCUGAAAUCGUGUUGAAAUCUAGCAUCUCCAAUCAAUUGAAGCUGAUGAAAAAUGGUGAACAUUCAGGCUUGAGGGAGUUGAUACAUGGAUCAGCAAAGCCACCAUACAGACUUAAUGAUUUCAACAACCAGCUAUUCUAUGUAGACCAACCAUACACCAUACCUCUUAAUCAUUUGAUGAUCUUGUAUAGCAUCUUGUCAGAAUCAGCAUGUCGCACCGCCUUUAGAUGGAGAAAUCAUGGUGGCCCAUUUCUUUACCGAUAACUUCUGUGUAAUAGUCAUUGUAGUUGACAUAAUCCCAGAAACGUGAAAGACUGAACUCCCCAUGCCUUGGUGACUUGAGAUAACAUAGAUACAAUUCCUUUAGAUUUUUAUCGAAUAUUCCCUUUACAGUAAGGACCUGAAAAUCAAACGCAACAAUUUGAGAAAUUGUUGCUUUUUUGAUACGUACGUGACCAAAAAGAUGUCUGAAGAAAUUAAUCGAUUCAAGUAUUCUUGCCAAAGAAUGUGCAACUGAUUACCGAACAAAUGAAAUUAUCAAAAAAACUUCUUUUUUUUCUUAAAAACUCGUACCUUUUUCUUUCUUAUAUAAGGAGGCAAUGGCAAAAUGACUCAUUUGGUCCUUGUACUCGUGGUUGUUUUUUUUCUCAAAAAUCUCUUUGCAGUAUUUUUUAGAGUAUUAUUUU